AUGGAAAUAUUGAUGCCAAUGUGCUACAGUGGUUCACGAGAUCAGGGGCUGAUGGUUUUGACCAAUUUUGGUCAUCUUCUUUUCCCUACUUUUGAUCCGCCGUCAUUUGCGGCUACCAUGAAGCCUAGCGAAGAAUCUGGGCAUUGGUGCUUGAUUGUUCUGAAUUUGAGGAUCCGUCGUUUCGAGUGUCUUGAUUUACUGCGCGAUGAAUCCUGGAGUGAUGCAGUUAGAUUCUUAAGGACUCUGACAGAUAACAUAAGGAAGCUUUGGAGGGAGUCCAGCGUAGACAGAGCCAAACCGUUCUCGCAGGCGCAUAUUGAUGGUUACUCUUGCGAGUUUGUCAAGACCUAUCAUUGCCGGGAGGAUGGUGUGAUUGAAAUGUUGGAUUAUAGCCAUGAAGACAUUCUUGACAUUAGGAAGACUUUGAUGUAUACCUGCGCAACUAGCGAUGUGUUUGAUGUUGACUUCUGGGGUGAGUGGCUGGAUCUUGGUGAGCAUAACUACAGGAUCUUUGGCAGACAGUUCUCGGAGCUCGAGCGCGUAGCUAUUGAUCUUAGCCAGGGGCGUUCUCCCGAAAAGACAAGAUCUGGUGUUAUGAAGGGGCGGUUGGGAGCUCUGAAAGGUUCUACGGCUGCUUGUGCAGAGAGCCCCUCUACACCCAAGAAUCCCAUUGUGGAAUUGAUAGACAGCGAUGAUGAUGCGUUUCACAAGAUUGUUGGCAUGGGAAGAGUCACCAGGAGCGCUGCUGCCAAGGGUUUAUCUCCCCUUGCUGGAAUAGUGGCUCGUAGAGCUGGUGGUGCUAGGAAGGAUCCUGCUUUGGAUUCUGGCAAUGUUCAGCUUCAGCCUCAUAAUUUCCCUCAUCUGGACAAGGCUCGCAAGUUGUAUAAUCUGUUGCUUAGUGAUGAAGCAUGUGAGAAGUAUGCCGCGAAUACAUUCUCAGUGAUACCUCAGCCUGGUGAUAACGUAACUAGCUUCAUUGGGAAACGCAUCUGGGAAGUUUUUGCACCUGGGCAAAUGAUGGAGGGUGAUGUAAUGGACUUCCUCAUUGAUGAUCGGAAGAAAGAUCCCGAGAGAAAUGCUGAUUUUGCGUCUGGAAAAAGGGUAUUGCUGAGUCCAUAUUUCAUCACGGUUGUGCUUGACUGUACGUUUUACAGUGAUGAAAAUAAAAAGUUUAAUGUGGAGAGUGCAGCGAGAGAUUUCAAGAGCUAUGCUAAAGAUAAUGAAGACUUGCUCAGUGCCGACCUUAUCAUGAUGCCUCUAUUCAAACCUAUGAUUUUACCAAAGGAUAGGAAAGUGAACCACUUUUCCUUAUAUGUCAUGAAUCGGUACCGAAGUAGCGUUGACAUCCUUGACUCUUUACCUUAUCCAAAGAGCCAUCGUCCUUCAAAGAACACCUAUCAUAAAGACUGCGAGAAGAUUUACAAUGCGAGCAAGCAGCCCAAAUGGGAGGUUUUUGCAAAGAAACCAACGUUUGUGAAGGUUCCACUUCAAGGGGCGAAUGAAUGUGGCCAUUAUACUCUGAAGUAUGUGGGAUGCUAUGAUGGUGAAAAGAUCGUUGAGAACAUUCGAAAUAAUGACCCUCGUAUUGUUGAUUGGAACACUGAGGAUCUGUAUAGAGUUGUGUUCAAUCGGAAUAACCAGCUUCUGGUGACGGAGCUUCCCAAGGAGGUUCAAGCUUUGGCUCCUGGUGCAUAG
rnacentral:rRNA from 1 species